AUUGAACGCUGGUGGCAGGCCUAACACAUGCAAGUCGAACGGUAACAGGGAUCAGCUUGCUGAUUCGCUGACGAGUGGCGGACGGGUGAGUAAUGUCUGGGAAACUGCCUGAUGGAGGGGGAUAACUACUGGAAACGGUAGCUAAUACCGCAUAACGUCGCAAGACCAAAGAGGGGGACCUUCGGGCCUCUUGCCAUCGGAUGUGCCCAGAUGGGAUUAGCUAGUAGGUGGGGUAACGGCUCACCUAGGCGACGAUCCCUAGCUGGUCUGAGAGGAUGACCAGCCACACUGGAACUGAGACACGGUCCAGACUCCUACGGGAGGCAGCAGUGGGGAAUAUUGCACAAUGGGCGCAAGCCUGAUGCAGCCAUGCCGCGUGUAUGAAGAAGGCCUUCGGGUUGUAAAGUACUUUCAGCGGGGAGGAAGGGAGUAAAGUUAAUACCUUUGCUCAUUGACGUUACCCGCAGAAGAAGCACCGGCUAACUCCGUG
rnacentral:rRNA from 1 species